CAGUCGCCGCGGUAAAACGUAUGUCACAAGCGUUAUCCGGAUUUAUUGGGCGUAAAGCGCGUCUAGGUGGUUACGUAAGUCUGAUGUGAAAAUGCAGGGCUCAACUCUGUAUUGCGUUGGAAACUGUGUAACUAGAGUACUGGAGAGGUAAGCGGAACUACAAGUGUAGAGGUGAAAUUCGUAGAUAUUUGUAGGAAUGCCGAUGGGGAAGCCAGCUUACUGGACAGAUACUGACGCUGAAGCGCGAAAGCGUGGGUAGCAAACAGGAUUAGAUACCCGAGUAGUCCCUGUCUCUUAUACA
rnacentral:rRNA from 1 species